UGGGGAAUAUUGCACAAUGGGCGCAAGCCUGAUGCAGCCAUGCCGCGUGUAUGAAGAAGGCCUUCGGGUUGUAAAGUACUUUCAGCGGGGAGGAAGGGAGUAAAGUUAAUACCUUUGCUCAUUGACGUUACCCGCAGAAGAAGCACCGGCUAACUCCGUGCCAGCAGCCGCGGUAAUACGGAGGGUGCAAGCGUUAAUCGGAAUUACUGGGCGUAAAGCGCACGCAGGCGGUUUGUUAAGUCAGAUGUGAAAUCCCCGGGCUCAACCUGGGAACUGCAGCUGAUACUGGCAAGCUUGAGUCUCGUAGAGGGGGGUAGAAUUCCAGGGGUAGCGGUGAAAUGCGUAGAGAUCUGGGGGAAUACCGGUGGCGAAGGCGGCCCCCUGGACGAAGACUGACGCUCAGGUGCGAAAGCGUGGGGAGCAAACAGG
rnacentral:rRNA from 1 species